CCAGACUCCUACGGGAGGCAGCAGUGGGGAAUAUUGGACAAUGGGGGCAACCCUGAUCCAGCAAUUCUGUGUGCACGAAGAAGGUUUUCGGAUUGUAAAGUGCUUUCAGCAGGGAAGAAGGAAGUGACGGUACCUGCAGAAGAAGCGACGGCUAAAUACGUGCCAGCAGCCGCGGUAAUACGUAUGUCGCGAGCGUUAUCCGGAAUUAUUGGGCAUAAAGGGCAUCUAGGCGGCCUGACAAGUCAGGGGUGAAAACCUGCGGCUCAACCGCAGGCCUGCCUUUGAAACUGUGAGGCUGGAGUACCGGAGAGGUGGACGGAACUGCACGAGUAGAGGUGAAAUUCGUAGAUAUGUGCAGGAAUGCCGAUGAUGAAGAUAGUUCACUGGACGGUAACUGACGCUGAAGUGCGAAAGCCGGGGGAGCAAACAGGAUUAGAUACCCUGGUAGUCCCGGCUGUAAACGAUGAUUACUGGGUGUGGGCAGGAAGACUGUCUGUGCCGAAGCAAAUGCGAUAAGUAAUCCGCCUGGGGAGUACGGCCGCAAGGCUGAAACUCAAAGGAAUUGACGGGGGCCGCACAAG
rnacentral:rRNA from 1 species